GCUGGGUGUGGUGGCGCAUGCCUGUAAUCCCAGCUACUUGGGAGGCUGAGGCAGGAGAAUCGCUUGAACCCAGGAGGCGGAGGUUGCAGUGAGCCAAGAUCACGCCACUGCACUCCAGCAUGGGUGACAGAGACUCUCUCUCUCAAAAAAAAAAAAAAGGGGCAUCAGAAGGAAAAAUGCAUUAUUAGCUCCUUUUUUUUUUUUUUUUUUUUUGAGACAGAGUCUCGCUGUAUUGCCUAGGCUGGAGUGCAGUGGUGUGAUCUCGACUUACUGCAACCUCUGCCUCCUGGGUUCAAGCGAUUCUCCUGCCUCA
rnacentral:SRP_RNA from 2 species